rnacentral:tRNA from 1 species
GGUGGCUCGGUGGUAGAGCACUUGCCUUGCAUGUGUGAGGCCCUGGGUUCAAUUCCCCAGCACCA